AGCUCCAAUAGCGUAUAUUAAAGUUGUUGCGGUUAAAAGCUCGUAGUUGGAUUUCUGUUGAGGGUCGCCGGUCCGAACUAUGUUCGUGUAUCUGGUUGAGCCUUGGCAUCCUCUUGGGGAACGUUGCUGCGCUUGAUUGCGUGGCGCGGAAUUCAAGACUUUUACUUUGAGGAAAUUAGAGUGUUCACGGCAGGCAAUCGCCUUGAAUACAUUAGCAUGGAAUAAUAAUAUAGGACCUUGGUUCUAUUUUGUUGGUUUCUAGAACUAAGGUAAUGAUUAAUAGGGAUAAUUGGGGGCAUUCGUAUUAAUGCGUCAGAGGUGGAAUUCUUGGAUUGCAUUACGACGAACUACUGCGAAAGCAUUUGCCAAGGAUGUUUUCAUUGAUCAAGAACG
rnacentral:rRNA from 1 species